rnacentral:rRNA from 1 species
AACGUACGCUGGCGGCACGCCUAACACAUGCAAGUCGAACGAAGUAGCAAUACUUAGUGGCAGACGGGUGAGUAACAUGUGGGUAUCUACCCUUUGGCCUGGAAUAACACGAGGAAACUUGUGCUAAUACCGGAUAAGUCUUUACGGAGAAAGCUUUAUGCACCAUUGGAGGAGCCCGCACUUGAUUAGUUUGUUGGUAGGGUAAUGGCCUACCAAGACUAUGAUCAAUAGCUGAUUUGAGAGGAUGAUCAGCCACAUUGGGACUGAGACACGGCCCAAACUCCUACGGGAGGCAGCAGUGGGGAAUCUUGCACAAUGGAGGAAACUCUGAUGCAGCGAUGCCGCGUGAGUGAAGAAGGCCCUUGGGUUGUAAAGCUCUUUCGUCGGGGAAGAAAAUGACUGUACCCGAAUAAGAAGGUCCGGCUAACUUCGUGCCAGCAGCCGCGGUAAUACGAAGGGACCUAGCGUAGUUCGGAAUUACUGGGCUUAAAGAGUUCGUAGGUGGUUGAAAAAGUUGGUGGUGAAAUCCCAGAGCUUAACUCUGGAACCGCCAUCAAAACUUUUCAGCUAGAGUAUGAUAGAGGAAAGCAGAAUUUCUAGUGUAGAGGUGAAAUUCGUAGAUAUUAGAAAGAAUACCAAUUGCGAAGGCAGC